UGAGGAAUAUUGGUCAAUGGGCGCAAGCCUGAACCAGCCAUCCCGCGUGCAGGAAGACGGCGCUAUGCGUUGUAAACUGCUUUUCCAGGGGGAGAAACUUGCGCACGUGUUGCGCAAUUGACGGUACCCUGGGAAUAAGCAUCGGCUAGCUCCGUGCCAGCAGCCGCGGUAAUACGGAGGAUGCGAGCGUUAUCCGGAUUCAUUGGGUUUAAAGGGUGCGUAGGCGGACUAUUAAGUCAGUGGUGAAAUCCUGCAGCUUAACUGCAGAACUGCCAUUGAUACUGAUAGCCUUGAGUUUGGUUAAGGUAGGCGGAAUGUGUAAUGUAGCGGUGUAAUGCUUAGAUAUUACACAGAACACCAAUUGCGUAGGCAGCUUACUGAGCCGACACUGACGCUGAGGCACGAAAGCGUGGGGAUCGAACAG
rnacentral:rRNA from 1 species